AGAUAUGUUUGGCAGAGCCAAGAAGGAAUGUUCAUUUCUGCUUGGGGAAGCUGUAGAAGUCUUCACAGAGAGGAUGACAUCUAACAUGAGCUUUGAAGGAUGACUGCGAGAAGAAGGUGAAGGGGCAGGCAUAGAACAAAGAAAACCACAGAGACAUACUUUAGCAUACACAGGUUGUAUAGAAGACAAAGUACCAGUUUUAGGAUGAAUAAAUGGGAACACUGAUAUCUCGAGAGGCCUUCUCAGCAUGGAAACACAAUGAUGCAACCUCAUGUGGAAAUAAAGGUGCUUUACUUCCACCCUCACUUACUUCAAUACGCUGGCACAUGCUUGCUUUCAAGCAACUCCCUCUCUAGACAUGGGGUUUAACCACCUGCCCUGCAGAUGACGUGUACAUUCUGACAUCUGCAUGGAAACAAGGAACUAGUCUGAAGGAGCUGUUGCUGCCAGGGGCAGGUUCUUCCAGUGACGGAUGGCAGCAGGCAACAGAGCAAGCAGGGACACAUGAUACCUCCUGAAAUCUCUCCUGGGAACUGGCACACCAUCCCUUCUGCCCACAUUCUACGGUUCAAACCAAGCCACAUGGCCAAGCUCAAGGUCAAUGGGGCUUUGUCAAAGCCAAUCAGGAAGUGUACUCUGCCCAUGGGGAGGGAUCAUGAAGAGUGAAUCUUUGCAGAAAAACCACACAGUGUUCCAGAAGUGCUCAAUAAGGAAUUGGGAUAUAGUCAUCUCUCAGAAAAUGUUAGUUAUUAUCAACAUGUGUAUUACUAUCACUAUUAGUAACAGGCUUUGCUGAUGAUUCAUUGAAGCUCAGAUAAGGUUGGGUUGGAUGAGACACAGUUUGGAGGGCUGCUACUUGGGAAUGGCCCUGGGAAAGCUUAACCUCUAUUGCUUGGUCAAGGUCAAGACUGACUGUAAGAACUGUGAUGGAGCCAAAUGUGACUAGAGGAGAGGGAAACGGCUUCAGCCAGGUCAGGCUUGACCCCUGAGCUGUCCUUAGGACCAGGAGGAAUUGGAGGAAAAGGCAUCCCACGGAAAACUGAGUUCAUGGCAGAACCAUGACUUAAACCCAGAUUGCCUUACUCUAAUUCUAGAUUAAAUCCCUACUCCACCCUCACUAGGAGAAAGAACAUUUUGAGAUGGAAUUGAUUCCUUUCUACAUAUUUUUCUUUAAAAAAAAAAACUCAGUGUUUAUUUUUAUUUCUUUUAGGCUGAAGCUUAACUCCAAAAAUAGUCUUUUUCAGUAGCCCUGUCAUUAGCAGUUGCUACAAACACUAUGUCCCCCACACAUUGAACUGCACGCACGACACUUGAAAAGAGCAAUUAGAACAGAAGUCUCCCAAGAAUCGCAAGGAAGGCAGUGGCUGCAGCUCCUGAUGCCUACAGUCUCCCAAGGACAUGGCUGGGAGCCAGCCCUGCUCUGGGGCUUCUCGUGCCUCUCUGUGGGUCGCCCAUACCCUAGCAUUUGCUCCGUUGUGUGCCUGACUCUGUGCUAACCCCAGGAGAACUUGCAGCCACUCGGCCCUCAACUUCACUCUAGUUGUCUGUCCUUAACCUUAGGUCUUAAUGUAGAGAGGUCACUAAGCCUCUCUAAGUCUCUGAUUCCUCACCUAGAAAAUAAGAAUCAUAAUAAUUUUGGGAUAUUUGAGGCAUCCUCAUCAUUUUGUACACAUCAAAGAACUAUUUGAUUUCAUGGGAGUGCCACCAACUGAGCUCCUCCUAUACACAGGGAUACUGAGAAUAAACAGAUAGUUGGACACAGCCCUUACCUUCGAACAAUUAUAGUCUAGCAGAGGUUCCUGCUGUUGAUUUGGGGGCAUGUAAUAUAGUUUACAAUGGUGGGGAAAGUUUCAGGUAAGACUUCCCUGCAGGGAAAAUACAUGGGCUGAAUUAUAAAAUGGUUGAUGAAGUAGGGAAAGGUAUUCCAAAGGAAAGGAGCAGCAUGUGCAAAGGCUCUGAGGCUAACUAGAACUAUCUGGGCUGGUCUCCAGCCUCGUGUGCAGUGAAAAGGUCUGAAGGAAAAGAUAUCGUGAAGGGCUUUGUCCACCUUUGCAAAGAAGCAGCAAGUAAUAGAGAAGUAUCCAAGCCCUGCAGUUGCUUCAUUUAUGCAACAAAUGUCCACUGAGGGCCCACAAUGUGCCAAGCACCAGGGACACAGGCCGAGCAAGCACAGACCCAGUGCCUGUCCUCGUGGAACCCAUAACCUAAUGAACUUGGCAUGUUUGCUAUACAUGUGUAGUUUCAAGAAGUCACCUUGGAUAACAAGGGUGGUGGCAUUGGGGAAUUAGAAUUUGUGUGGUCAAGAAAGGGGGUUCAUGGAAGGGGUUCCUGAGAACUAUGGCUGGAGAGAGACUAUGGCUGGAGAGAGACACGGGGUACAAUUUAUGCCCUUCUGUGGGCAAUAGGGCCUUGGCAGGGGAAGGGGGCAGGCUCUGGCCUGACAGUAAGACAAAGGAAGAAACUAAAAGAUGAGGAGAGAUGGAAGGAGGGAAGGAAAGGACCAGCCCCCAGCCUCUCAGCCAGACCUCAUCACACUCUUGUCUGCUGUGAAUCUGUGGUCACUUCUCACACCUGGGAAGGUGCAGACCUCUGUAUGGGCAUAAAAGGAGGCGUCUGAAUUCUUCAGAAGCAAAAACAUACAAGAAUAACCCAAAAGGAGUUGGGAGGGGGAUUUCAAAUUCAUGAAAGCCAAUACACAUGGGUGCUGCGGAUUCAAUUGUGUCAACCAGAAAGAUAUGUUCAACACCUAGCCCCUGGUACCUGAGAAUGUGGCCUUAUUUGGAAAUAGGGUCUUUGUAGAUGUAAUCAAGCCAAGAUGAAGUCCUACUGGAAGAAGGUGGGCCCCAAAUCAAUGACUGGCAUCCUUCUAAAAUGAGGAACAUUUGGAUGCAGAAACACACAGAGAGAAGAAGGCCAUGUGACGACAGAGGCAGAGACAGGAAUGAUGCAUUUAUAAGCCAAGGAACACCCAAAGAUCACUGGCAACCAGCAGAAGUUAGAAGAGGCAUGGGCUGGGCAUGGUGGCUCACGCCUGUAAUCCCAGCAUUUUGGGAGGCCAAGGUGGGCGGAUCACCUGACGUCAGGAGUCCAAGACCAGCCUGGUCAACAUGGCUAAACCCCGUCUCUACUAAAAAUGCAAAAAUUAGCCGGGCAUGGUGGUGGGAGUCUGUAAUCCCAGCUACUCGGGAGGCUGAGGCAGGGAGAAUGGCUUGAACCCGGGAGACGGAGGUUGCAGUGAGCCAAGAUCACACCAUUGCACUCCAGCCUGUGUGAUAGAGCAAGAUUCUGCCUCCAAAAAAAAAAAGGCAUGAAACAGAUUCUCCCUCAGAGCUAUCAGAAGGAACCAACCCUACUGACACUUGGACCUUGGACUUCAGGACUCCAGAACUGUAAGAGAAUAUACUGUUGUCUAAAGCCACCCAGUGUAUAGUAGUUCAUUAUGGCAGCCCUGGCAAACUAAUACAAUAGUAAAUUAUACCUCACAAUUGUACAGAUUAAAUUUGGAUGGGUCAACAGCCUUAGGGGUGGCAAGUUGAAGUAACCCAAUAAUUGCAUUCAGAUAUACUUAGCCCCACCUUGCAGGACAGGGCCAGGAAGUAGCUGGUGUUAGCCCGAGGGGUAGGGAGCUGCUGACUCCUGUUCUGGCCACAUCAUCUCACUCAUACCUCACAACAAACCUGAAGGGUCCACCUCACUGUGCUCACUUUGUAGAGGGUAUGACAGGCUUACAGAAGUGUAGGUGCAUGCCCCGGGUCCAUGUGGCAAGUGCCAGAGCUGGGAUCUGAAUACAAGUCAUCCUGUGACUUGCUUUUGAGCCGUAAAAUUAUAAACAAGCAGUUAGUUCCCGUCCACAAAGCAUUCACUAUUCACAGAAUUAAGAAUGACAUUCUUGGCUGGGCAUGGUAGCUCAUGCCUGUAAUCCUAGCACUUGGGAGGCCGAGGUGAGUGGAUCACUUAAGGGCAG
rnacentral:lncRNA from 10 species